rnacentral:rRNA from 1 species
GAUGAACGCUGGCGGCGUGCCUAAUACAUGCAAGUCGAGCGAACAGACGAGGAGCUUGCUCCUCUGACGUUAGCGGCGGACGGGUGAGUAACACGUGGAUAACCUACCUAUAAGACUGGGAUAACUUCGGGAAACCGGAGCUAAUACCGGAUAAUAUAUUGAACCGCAUGGUUCAAUAGUGAAAGACGGUUUUGCUGUCACUUAUAGAUGGAUCCGCGCCGCAUUAGCUAGUUGGUAAGGUAACGGCUUACCAAGGCAACGAUGCGUAGCCGACCUGAGAGGGUGAUCGGCCACACAUGACCUGAGCCGCGGUCCAGACUCCUACGGGAGGCAGCAGUAGGGAAUCUUCCGCAAUGGGCGAAAGCCUGACGGAGCAACGCCGCGUGAGUGAUGAAGGUCUUCGGCUCGUAAAACUCUGUUAUUAGGGAAGAACAAAUGUGUAAGUAACUAUGCACGUCUUGACGGUACCUAAUCAGAAAGCCACGGCUAACUACGU